rnacentral:rRNA from 1 species
UACGAACCGUACAAACGUUAUUCGGAAUCACUGGGCUUAAAGGGUGCGUAGGCGGCCAUGUAAGUGAGAUGUGAAAUCCCUCGGCUCAACCGAGGAACGUCGAUCGAUACUACCGUUCUUGAGGGUUGCAGAGGAGACUGGAAUUCCCGGUGUAGCGGUGAAAUGUGUAGAGAUCGGGAGGAACACCGGUGGCGAAGGCGGGUCUCUGGGCAAUUCCUGACGCUGAGGCGCGAAAGCGUGGGGAGCAAACGGG